GUGUUUCUCUGACGUAACAGGUCCCGGCGAAAACACAAAACCCCGGGUAUUUUUCAGCUCGUCGCCGAUUUCUGCGCCGGAUCAGCAGUUUCUCUGCGAGUUCGGAGAAUCUGCCUCUGACCGGUUCAGAUCUUUAUUCAGAAAAUCACCUAAAGGCCUGUUACUGCGGUUAACAUGGAGAAUCGUAAGCGACCCGCAGAGCCAUCCGUGAGCCCGGGCGACAAGUUCCACACGCCGCAGAAGAGAGUGUCGCUGGUUCCCGUCUGGCAGCCGGAUUCUGACUUCAUGCGGUGGGGAAUCGGAGAAACAUGUCAGUACCUGCAAAGGGAAGGACUCGGAAAAUGGGAGGAAAUAUUCAGAGCUGAGAAGAUUACAGGUGUGGGGCUGAGGUACCUGAGGGAUGCAGACCUGGAAAAGAUUGGCAUAAAGUGUCUCGGGGACCGUCUGCAGAUCCUGCACAGCCUCAGAAAACUAUGGCAGAUUGAAGCAGAGGCCAAAAAGGUUUUUAAUGAUCCAAUUCACGGCCAUGUGGAGCUACACCCGCUUCUCAUCAAAAUCAUUGACACUCCUCAGUUUCAGCGACUUCGAAACAUCAAGCAACUUGGAGGCACAUAUUAUGUUUUUCCAGGCGCGUCCCAUAACCGCUUUGAACACAGCAUUGGGGUCGGGUACUUGGCUGGACGACUUGCUCAAGCUCUCAAUGACAGGCAACCAGAGCUCCUCAUCUCUCGCAGGGACAUUCUUUGUGUGGAAAUUGCUGGACUGUGCCAUGACCUGGGACACGGACCUUUCUCCCAUAUGUUUGACGGCAUGUUUAUCCCCAAAGCACGCCCAGGACUUAACUGGAAACACGAGGCCGCCUCUUUGAAAAUGUUUGACUACCUUGUGGAAGACAACGGCUUGAAGCCAGUUAUGGAGGAGCACGGCCUGGUGCUCCCAGAGGACCUGGACUUCAUCAAGGAGCAGAUCGCAGGUCCGAUGGAGAGCAGUUUGGCUCGAGGAGAAAAGUGGCCAUACAAAGGCCGUACUAAAGACAAGUCCUUCCUCUAUGAGAUUGUUGCAAACAAAAGGAACGGCAUUGACGUGGAUAAGUGGGAUUAUUUUGCCAGGGACUGCUACCAUUUGGGCAUCCAGAACAACUUUGACUAUCAGCGCUUUCUAAAAUUUGCAAGGGUCAUUGAAGUGGACGGGAAGAAGCACAUCUGCACAAGAGAUAAGGAGGUAGGCAAUCUGUACGACAUGUUCCACACUAGGAACUGUCUCCACAGGAGAGCUUACCAGCACAAAGUGGGCAACGUCAUUGAAACAAUGAUAACAGAAGCUUUUUUAAAAGCAGACCCACACAUCAAGAUCGCGGGCUCUCAGGGAAAAAUCUUCACUCUGUCCACAGCGAUCGAUGACAUGGUGGCCUACACCAAGUUAACGGAUAAUGUGUUUGAACAGAUCCUGAACUCCUCCUCUCCAGAGCUUGCAGAAGCAAGGCUGAUCCUUCACAAAAUCAUCUGUCGGCACCUCUACAAAUGUCUGGGGCAAACUCGGCCAGAUAAAGCCUUGACUGUCACUCAGGAAAUCAUGCAUGGAUGGGAGGCAGAUUUGGCUAAGGCCAUCCCUCAGAAUGGCUCCCAAGAUGCUGAUCUGAAGCCAGAGGAUUUUGUAGUCAGUGUCGUAGUGAUGGACUAUGGUAUGAAGGAAAAGAACCCCAUCAAUAACGUGCGUUUUUACUGCAAGGAUGACCCAACAAAAGCUAUAAAGAUCUGCAAAAACCAGGUAUCUAAACUUCUCCCAGAGCACUUUGCUGAACAGCUGAUUAGGGUCUACUGCAAGAAAACAGAUGAGAAGACUAUGGAGACUGCCAAGAAGCACUUUGUUCAGUGGUGCAUGGACAUGAACUUCUCGAAGCCUCAGGAUGGAGAUAUUAUAGCGCCUGAGCUGACUCCUCUUAAAGCAAGCUGGCACAACAACAAUGAAGGGAAUAAAAAACAGAUGGGAACAGUUGGAAAUAAACAACCCCAAAGGUGGCACCGAAAAUCUGCAGCCAGAAGACUUUGUCGUUGAUGUAAAAGAAAUAAACUAUGGGAUGAAGGAAAAGGACCCAAUAGAGCAUGUGUGGUUCUACAAAAAGGACAAUCCAACAAAGCCCUUCAAACUGGAUAAAAAUCAAGUUUCUAACCUUCUUCCAGGAACAUUCAGCGAGAAAAUAAUCAGAAUCUACUGCAAGAAGACGACUAAGGAGACUCUGAAAGCUGACCAAAUUCACUUCGAGAAAUAUAAGAAGAUACAUGACGGAAUGAUCAAUGCAUAAGUGCUGCUUUUCUUUGAGCUGUAUUUGACAGCAGCAGAACAGCUAUUUUAAGGCAAUCAUUAUUAAUUUCCUAAUUGUUACUAAUACGUUUUUAUAGAUAUUGAUUUGCUAAUUCAUACCCCUAACAGCUGGGUAAUGUGAAUAAGGCCAGAACAAUGGAUGACAAUCUGCCAUGUUUUAUAGCUUCACAUACAGUUAAAAGUACAGUUACAACAAUAAAAAAAAAAAUUCAUUCUAAAUGGUGAUAAAAACUCAAUAGUUUUGAGUCUAAUGACAUCAACAAGCAAAAAGUAAGCAAAUGAUACCAAUGGCAUGGAAAUUGGUGACAAAAAUAUAUAUAUUUUUCAAAUAUUACAUCAUAAUCAUUCAGAGACAGCAAAUUGGAUUGAUCAAUCAAUAAAUGUAUCACUUAGCCAUAGAAGAGCGUGCCACAAAUGCUUUUCUAUUUCUUGAGUGUUCUCUAGACUCUCAAUACAAGCAAUCCUGUUUUCUGUUGCAUAAUGGGAUGAAGUAAAAAAUGUGACGUGCCCAUAAUUAUAAAAAUUCCACUUAAUAAACUUGGUAUUGGGGACUAUAAUCAAAAGGGGAAAGAUAUGUUUUUGUUGAGCUUUGAUGUUAAGGGACAUUUUCCUCUGAAGUGAAGGUGUUGAUUUGUGGUGUUAUCUAUAU